GACGAACGCUGGCGGCGUGCUUAACACAUGCAAGUCGAACGGAAAGGCCCUGCUUUUGUGGGGUGCUCGAGUGGCGAACGGGUGAGUAACACGUGAGUAACCUGCCCUUGACUUUGGGAUAACUUCAGGAAACUGGGGCUAAUACCGGAUAGGAGCUCCUGCUGCAUGGUGGGGGUUGGAAAGUUUCGGCGGUUGGGGAUGGACUCGCGGCUUAUCAGCUUGUUGGUGGGGUAGUGGCUUACCAAGGCUUUGACGGGUAGCCGGCCUGAGAGGGUGACCGGCCACAUUGGGACUGAGAUACGGCCCAGACUCCUACGGGAGGCAGCAGUGGGGAAUAUUGCACAAUGGGCGGAAGCCUGAUGCAGCAACGCCGCGUGCGGGAUGACGGCCUUCGGGUUGUAAACCGCUUUCGCCUGUGACGAAGCGUGAGUGACGGUAAUGGGUAAAGAAGCACCGGCUAACUACGUGCCAGCAGCCGCGGUGAUACGUAGGGUGCGAGCGUUGUCCGGAUUUAUUGGGCGUAAAGGGCUCGUAGGUGGUUGAUCGCGUCGGAAGUGUAAUCUUGGGGCUUAACCCUGAGCGUGCUUUCGAUACGGGUUGACUUGAGGAAGGUAGGGGAGAAUGGAAUUCCUGGUGGAGCGGUGGAAUGCGCAGAUAUCAGGAGGAACACCAGUGGCGAAGGCGGUUCUCUGGGCCUUUCCUGACGCUGAGGAGCAAAAGCGUGGGGAGCGAACAGGCUUAGAUACCCUGGUAGUCCACGCUGUAAACGGUGGGUACUAGGUGUGGGGUCCAUUCCACGGGUUCCGUGCCGUAGCUAACGCUUUAAGUACCCCGCCUGGGGAGUACGGCCGCAAGGCUAAAACUCAAAGGAAUUGACGGGGCCCCGCACAAGCGGCGGAGCAUGCGGAUUAAUUCGAUGCAACGCGUAGAACCUUACCUGGGUUUGACAUGGAUCGGGAGUGCUCAGAGAUGGGUGUGCCUCUUUUGGGGUCGGUUCACAGGUGGUGCAUGGCUGUCGUCAGCUCGUGUCGUGAGAUGUUGGGUUAAGUCCCGCAACGAGCGCAACCCUUGUUCACUGUUGCCAGCACGUUAUGGUGGGGACUCAGUGGAGACCGCCGGGGUCAACUCGGAGGAAGGUGGGGAUGACGUCAAGUCAUCAUGCCCCUUAUGUCCAGGGCUUCACGCAUGCUACAAUGGCUGGUACAGAGAGUGGCGAGCCUGUGAGGGUGAGCGAAUCUCGGAAAGCCGGUCUCAGUUCGGAUUGGGGUCUGCAACUCGACCUCAUGAAGUCGGAGUCGCUAGUAAUCGCAGGUCAGCAACGCUGCGGUGAAUACGUUCCCGGGGCU
rnacentral:rRNA from 1 species